GCCCCCGUAGCUCAGGGGAUAGAGCAUCGGCCUCCGGAGCCGUGUGCGCAGGUUCGAAUCCUGCCGGGGGCAC
rnacentral:tRNA from 1 species